UACGUAGGGUGCGAGCGUUGUCCGGAAUUACUGGGCGUAAAGAGCUCGUAGGUGGUUUGUCGCGUUGUCCGUGAAAACUCACAACUCAAUUGUGGGCGUGCGGGCGAUACGGGCAGACUGGAGUACUGCAGGGGAGACUGGAAUUCCUGGUGUAGCGGUGGAAUGCGCAGAUAUCAGGAGGAACACCUAUGGCGAAGGCAGCUCUCUGGUACGUGACUGACGCUGAGACGCGAAAGCGUGGGGAGCGAACAGG
rnacentral:rRNA from 1 species